GAAGCCGGAAUUGCUAGUAAUGGCAGGUCAGCAUACUGCCGUGAAUACGUUCCCGGGCCUUGUACACACCGCCCGUCACACCAUGAGAGUUGGGAAUACCCGAAGCCUGUGAGCUAACUAAUAGAGGCAGCAGUCGAAGGUAGAAUCAAUGAUUGGGGUGAAGUCGUAACAAGGUAAC
rnacentral:rRNA from 1 species